GGAUAUUUGAUGUCCGUACUUUGAAUCCGUCCUGUUGCCAAAUUAAACUGUUACAGGGAACAGCAUGCAAUGCGAUUAGGAACCUCUACUUUGUAUGAGUGAAGCAUGAAAAAAACUAAAUAAAGCACAGUUAGUAAGUACACAGACAUAAAUAGAAACUAUUAAGUGUAAUCAGACAAAUAAAGGCACAAAUGAAGUGAAGAGGCGAUGAAGGAGCGAUUAAAGUUAAAUGGAAAAAAAUUGCAGCGGUGAGAACGAAAGUGGGUGAAGUGUCUUGUGCCUGCAGAUAGCUUCCUCAGCAGCUCAAAAUGCAUUUGUUACACCCCCGGAAGCGAAAUCAACACGUGCGGAGUGUGUGAUUCAGACAGUCGUGCAGAAGAGUGACUGGUGCACAGUCCACCACAUGUUUGGGCCUGACAUCGGCGCCCGGUAGGCUGGCAGCAGCGGGGACAAAGGACUUUGUUGAGAAGUCCCUUCAUACACGCCCCAGGUGGAGGCACGUCCUGUCUCCGAGGGGGGGUUCACGUUGGCGAGGGAGGUGUCUGUGUUUGUGCUGCCGAUCAUCCUUCCCCCUUUUUCCUGUGUCCUUGUGGAGGCCAGCGAGUGUCGCAGGUCGGUGAUGGGCCUCGCCUUUUCCGCUUGCCCAGUGGUGACCGAAACAACCGGCCGCAGGUCGUCCGAAGAAAAGAAAAGGGGGUUUUGGGGUUCAUCUCCGAGCGAACCGUGGCGCGGUUGCGAAAUUGAUUCUCAUCUGUGGGUCCUGGUGAUGCAAGGGGACAGCUGCCGAGUCAGUGAGUUUCCUGUCAGCGUGAACAAGAAAAACAAUCAGAGGGAACAUGGAGAGAAAAUGCACACGUUUCAUUUUUUUUGACCCCCCCCCCGCCUUGUUCCAGAGCAAAUUGACCAAACUACAGGUGUGGAAGAAAAGUUGCUGUUGGUUCAGUCCAGUUCGCUGUGGAGCGCCCGGGCAUUUGAGCCACCUGAUCACCGGAAGUGCUUGGUCCGCAGCCCCCCGGCCUUCGGCGUCGGCGAACGGUGCCUGAGUCAUCGCAGGACGAGCUGCUCUCGGAACGGCGGUUGCUGAUGGCUGCUGCUGCUGCUGCAGCUGACGUAGUUCGUUUGGGAGGAGAUGAGGAGAAGUGGGGCGUGGACGCGGCCCCCUGUGCUUCGGACCGCGGUGUCCAAC
rnacentral:lncRNA from 1 species